rnacentral:rRNA from 1 species
GACGAACGCUGGCGGCGUGCUUAACACAUGCAAGUCGAACGGAAAGGCCCUGCUUUUGGGGGGUGCUCGAGUGGCGAACGGGUGAGUAACACGUGAGUAACCUGCCCUUGACUUUGGGAUAACUUCAGGAAACUGGGGCUAAUACCGGAUAGGAGCUCCUGCUGCAUGGUGGGGGUUGGAAAGUUUCGGCGGUUGGGGAUGGACUCGCGGCUUAUCAGCUUGUUGGUGGGGUAGUGGCUUACCAAGGCUUUGACGGGUAGCCGGCCUGAGAGGGUGACCGGCCACAUUGGGACUGAGAUACGGCCCAGACUCCUACGGGAGGCAGCAGUGGGGAAUAUUGCACAAUGGGCGGAAGCCUGAUGCAGCAACGCCGCGUGCGGGAUGACGGCCUUCGGGUUGUAAACCGCUUUCGCCUGUGACGAAGCGUGAGUGACGGUAAUGGGUAAAGAAGCACCGGCUAACUACGUGCCAGCAGCCGCGGUGAUACGUAGGGUGCGAGCGUUGUCCGGAUUUAUUGGGCGUAAAGGGCUCGUAGGUGGUUGAUCGCGUCGGAAGUGUAAUCUUGGGGCUUAACCCCUGAGCGUGCUUUCGAUACGGGUUGACUUGAGGAAGGUAGGGGGAAAUGGGAAUUCCUGGUGGAGCGGUGGAAUGCGCAGAUAUCAGGAGGAACACCAGUGGCGAAGGCGGUUCUCUGGGCCUUUCCUGACGCUGAGGAGCGAAAGCGUGGGGAGCGAACAGGCUUAGAUACCCUGGUAGUCCACGCUGUAAACGGUGGGUACUAGGUGUGGGGUCCAUUCCACGGGUUCCGUGCCGUAGCUAACGCUUUAAGUACCCCGCCUGGGGAGUACGGCCGCAAGGCUAAAACUCAAAGGAAUUGACGGGGCCCCGCACAAGCGGCGGAGCAUGCGGAUUAAUUCGAUGCAACGCGUAGAACCUUACCCGGGUUUGACAUGGAUCGGGAGUGCUCAGAGAUGGGUGUGCCUCUUUUGGGGUCGGUUCACAGGUGGUGCAUGCCUGUCGUCAGCUCGUGUCGUGAGAUGUUGGGUUGAGUCCCGCAACGAGCGCAACCCUUGUUCACUGUUGCCAGCACGUUAUGGUGGGGACUCAGUGGAGACCGCCGGGGUCAACUCGGAGGAAGGUGGGGAUGACGUCAAGUCAUCAUGCCCCUUAUGUCCAGGGCUUCACGCAUGCUACAAUGGCUGGUACAGAGAGUGGCGAGCCUGUGAGGGUGAGCGAAUCUCGGAAAGCCGGUCUCAGUUCGGAUUGGGGUCUGCAACUCGACCUCAUGAAGUCGGAGUCGCUAGUAAUCGCAGACCAGCAACGCUGCGGUGAAUACGUUCCCGGG